rnacentral:rRNA from 1 species
GGACAACAUUUGGAAACAGAUGCUAAUACCGCAUAACAGCGUUGUUCGCAUGAACAACGCUUAAAAGAUCCCUUCUCGCUAUCACUUCUGGAUGGACCUGCGGUGCAUUAGCUUGUUGGUGGGGUAACGGCCUACCAAGGCGAUGAUGCAUAGCCGAGUUGAGAGACUGAUCGGCCACAAUGGGACUGAGACACGGCCCAUACUCCUACGGGAGGCAGCAGUAGGGAAUCUUCCACAAUGGGCGCAAGCCUGAUGGAGCAACACCGCGUGAGUGAAGAAGGGUUUCGGCUCGUAAAGCUCUGUUGUUAAAUAUUAACACGUAUGAGAGUAACUGUUCAUACGUUGACGGUAUUUAACCAGAAAGUCACGGCUAACUACGUGCCAGCAGCCGCGGUAAUACGUAGGUGGCAAGCGUUAUCCGGAUUUAUUGGGCGUAAAGAGAGUGCAGGCGGUUUUCUAAGUCUGAUGUGAAAGCCUUCGGCUUAACCGGAGAAGUGCAUCGGAAACUGGAUAACUUGAGUGCAGAAGAGGGUAUUGGAACUCCAUGU